UAUGAAGAACGUAGCGAAAUGCGAUAAGUAAUGUGAAUUGCAGAAUUCAGUGAAUCAUCGAAUCUUUGAACGCACCUUGCGCCCUUUGGCCAUUCCGAAGGGCAUGCCUGUUUGAGUAUCAUGAACACCUCAACUCUUCAUGGUUUUCCAUGAUGAGCUUGGACUUUGGGGGUCUUGCUGGCCUGUGGGUCGGCUCCUCUCAAAUGAAUCAGCUUGCCGGUUUUUGGUGGGCAUCACAGGUGUGAUAACUAUCUACGCUUGUGGUUUUCCACCAGGGUAACCUUCAGCAGUGGAGGUUCACUGGAGCUUACAAAUGUCUCUCCUCUGUGAGGACAGCCCUUUGAAUGUUUGAUCUCAAAUCAGGUAGGACUACCCGCUGAACUUAAGCAUAUCAAUAAGCGGAGGA
rnacentral:misc_RNA from 1 species